rnacentral:rRNA from 1 species
AAUGCCCGCUGAUGCGAUUUCGGUCAAUCAUGUGGCAUUCGAGUGGCGGACGGGUGAGUAACGCGUGGGUAACCUGCCUUACACAGGGGGAUAACACCUGGAAACAGGUGCUAAUACCGCAUAAGCGCACAGGGCCGCAUGGCCCGGUGUGAAAAACUCCGGUGGUGUAAGAUGGACCCGCGUCUGAUUAGCUUGUUGGCGGGGUAGGGGCCCACCAAGGCGACGAUCAGUAGCCGGCCUGAGAGGGUGGACGGCCACAUUGGGACUGAGACACGGCCCAAACUCCUACGGGAGGCAGCAGUGGGGGAUAUUGGACAAUGGGGGAAACCCUGAUCCAGCGACGCCGCGUGAGUGAAGAAGUAUUUCGGUAUGUAAAGCUCUGUCAGCAGGGAAGAAAGAAAUGACGGUACCUGACCAAGAAGCCCCGGCUAACUACGUGCCAGCAGCCGCGGUAAUACGUAGGGGGCAAGCGUUAUCCGGAAUUACUGGGUGUAAAGGGAGCGUAGACGGUGAUGCAAGUCUGGAGUGAAAGGCGGGGGCCCAACCCCCGGACUGCUCUGGAAACUGUGUAACUUGAGUGCAGGAGAGGUAAGCGGAAUUCCUAGUGUAGCGGUGAAAUGCGUAGAUAUUAGGAGGAACACCAGUGGCGAAGGCGGCUUACUGGACUGUAACUGACGUUGAGGCUCGAAAGCGUGGGGAGCAAACAGGAUUAGAUACCCUGGUAG